UGUCUCGUUCACCAACCCCUUCAUCCCUAAUCGAACAUCAUCGUCAUCUUCAAUCAUGCCACACUCUGUAGCAUAAGUGCUCAUGAACUCGAUCGACUAUCAUACCAAUGAUUUGCAUCAUUUAUCGAUUGAAGACGGUAAAAAGUUUGAGACUAAACCAUUCCUAUGUAGGGUUUCGAGACACGAUUAACAUGGUGAGAGAAGUAAGGCCAAUGAAACUUCAAAAAGCACCACACGUGAAGGCACAUUUUUAGAAAUAAUGGUACAUUCUAUUGUUGGUUGGAAAAUGACAAAGAGAACUCUGAGAGGUCAUCGUAGAAGCCCAUAAAAUAAUACGAAAAUGGUACUUUGGAAAGCGAAUAUUCACCAAGAAGAGAAUGGAGUUUGAGAGAAACCAAAAGGAAAAGAGAGACUAGUAUAUAUUUUGAAUCACGACUUGUUUUUAUGUUAUCAU